rnacentral:rRNA from 1 species
AUUGAACGCUGGCGGCAUGCCUUACACAUGCAAGUCGAACGGCAGCACGGGGGCAACCCUGGUGGCGAGUGGCGAACGGGUGAGUAAUACAUCGGAACGUAUCCUGUAGCGGGGGAGUAACCUCUCGAAAGAGAGGCUAAUACCGCAUACGACCUACGGGUGAAAGAGGGGGAGUCGCAAGACCUCUCACUAUUGGAGCGGCCGAUGUCGGAUUAGCUAGUUGGU